rnacentral:snoRNA from 1 species
AUCCACGUUACCAUGGAGGCUGUGUUUUUUUUUCAAUGACAGUCCUCCUUCCUAGGCGUGGUACAGAAAACUCUUGCUCUUAUUCAGAUGGUCUCUGCUGAUGCUGUCGCCAGAGCCGAGAAUAAGAAAGGAAACAUUU